GGGGAUAUAGUUCAGUUGGUAGAAUGGUUGCCUUGCAUGCACAAGGCCCUGGGUUUGAUCCCCAGCACCA
rnacentral:tRNA from 1 species